GGUUGGUUUGAUGGUAAUGGGUUAAUCAGAACUUACUAACAUCAAUGUCACUGAAGUUGGUAUACACCCCGCCCCUUGAUAAAUUUAACUGGCUUAAA
ensembl:misc_RNA Y_RNA Y RNA